UGUUCUGAACCCGGAAGUACUCCCGGGAGGGCCAGGGAGGCCUCGCACGUGUGCUGGCUUCUUCCCCAGAGGGAGCAGGAAGGUCUGCGGCGCGUUGCCUGCCAUGGAGGGCCCUCCUUCUUCGUCGAGGCUCCUGGGCCAGAGCCGCCAGUUCCUGGAUUUCUUCUGGGACCUGGCCAAGCCUGAGCAGGAGACCCGCCUGGAGGCCACCGAGGGACUCCUGGGGUACUUGAGGGAGAACCAGAAGAAGGAUGAAGACCUGUUGAAAUACACACUGAAGCGCCUGGUCGUCGGCUUGGGAGCGACUCGAGAGGCGUCCCGCCCUGCGUUCAGCCUGGCAUUGGCACAAGUAUUGCAAGCGUUUGAGGAGAUUCCCCUCCUCACAGCCCUGGAACAAAUAAAGGAGAAAUACAACCUUUCCAAAGUGAAGAAGAAGCUCUUUAGAAAUGCUCUGUUUGGAAACUUUUUUGGAGUACUGGCUCUUUUCCAGUCUGGACGUCUUGCAAAGGAGUCAAAGGCCCUCCUGGAGUGUGUCCAAGUCCUCCAGAGCCUUUCGGAGCAUCAUGCCCACCUGAAAGAUCUCCCUCGGAAGACGCUGGCUGACAUUGUCACUGAGAUUCCAGAAGCUGUGUUUGAAGAGGUCCUCUUCAGCAUCCUGGAAGAUGACCUGACCGAGGCCUUCAGCACCCCAGGGCAGCUCUACCUCUUGUUGGUGGGCAUCCAGAGGUUUCCAAGAGUUCUCCGGCCAGAGAAACUGAAGGUGCUCUUAGGUACAUCUGCUGUUGUCACAGAGGAGAAUAUUCCUCGGUUGGUGGAGGUUUUGAAGAUGGCUGCAAAGACUGAAAGGAAGGAUCGGGUUCUUCCAACUGUUGGCUUGGACUUGAUGAAGGUUUCUCUGAAGGAAGGCACCUUUGAGCUGUUUUGGGAAGAAGCUGUAGAGAAAGGGUUGCUCACAGAUAAUACCGGACCCUGCAGUUAUAUGUGCUAUCGUUUGCUGGGCAGCGCUUUCCCACUCUUGUCUCUCAGCCAGCUAAAGACGAUUCUUCAAGGGGAGGUUAUGCGUCACUAUGGGAUCCAUGUUGUGUCAGCUAAGCUCCCCAAUAGAUUUAAGUUUGCCCCAGAGAUGGAAGCCUUGGUUGGCUCAUUCCUGGAGGGAUGCAGCGACCCCAAGAAGCAGCUGGCAGUCAUGAUCGGCUUCUCCACCCUCACCAACCACGGCUAUCCCGUUGUACCCAGCUUCUGGAAAGUGGUGAGGCAUUUGCUUCCUGACGCGCUGCUAAACUACAUCAGCUGGCUCAAAAGCAUGUUUCUCACUCCGGACCUAGACAGCUGCGUGGAGUUUGCUACUAAGCGGCAGCAGCAGAAUGAGAAGAAAAAGAACAGUGAAUUGACGGAGCACUGUGUGACACGGCUGAGGAAAUGGCUCAUAGCCCGUCUGGUUGGGAUAGCCGAAAAUCCACAGAUAAAGAGGGAAGAAGAGUUUGUGGCUGACAUUGCCAGGUUCUGCUUCUUCCAUGCAUUUUUCAAGACCAAGAAACCAACCUCCAAGAUAUCAGAGACAGCAGCUAUCCCGUCAGUGCCGCUAAGUGCACCAUCUCGCACGGUUACUGCGGACUCAUUUUUCAGUUUGCUUCAGCACCUGAACACAAUGCCAGCCCUGGGGGAAUCGGUUGAGGCAGAAGAAAUGCGGAAGAAGCAUCUCCAUGGCUUGACUGCCAAUGGGGAGCCGUGGAUCUACCUGGCUGUCCAGUAUGCCAACACUCUCCUUUCGGACAAGAAGCAUGUUGAAGCAGUGGCCCCGUUCAGCGAGGAGGAGCAGUUUGCCUGGGACCGAAUGCUGCAGACGGUGGAAGCCCUGCGGAGGAGAGAGCAGAAAGGCCUCACCUUGAAGACCACUGCCUUCCAGCACCUGCUGCUGUUAGUUGGCAUUCACCUCUUCAAGUCUCCUGCUGAGUGUGUGAACCUCCUGAAUGACCUCCAGAAUUGCACCAAGAGGGCCUUCGAGGAGAAGCACAAGAAGAAGACGUCAGCUUCAGCCAGUGGCGAAGAAGAGCCUGAAUGGGUGGAGGUGAUUGUGGAAGUUCUCCUCUCCCUUCUCGCCCAGUCCAGCGCACUGAUCCGGCGGGUCUGCAAAAGCGUGUUUGCACUUGUGUGUCAACACAUGACGGAGGCUGCCCUGCAGCUGAUUCUGGAUGUUCUUGACCCGCAGCAAGACCAGGAUGAAGAAAGUGCCGUAGUGGUGGUAGAAGAAGCUCAGAAGAAGAUGAAGAAGAAACCCUUGCCAGAUGAGAGUGACGACGACAGCGGAAAGAGUUCUUCUGACGAAGACAGCUCUGAAGACAAUGACUCCGAGAGUGACGAUGCGAGGAUGGACGCUCCGGAGACGGAUAGCGAAGCUGAGGGCGAGGCGGAUGAGAACUUCCGUGCCAUGCUGAGGAAUGUUCUGCAGGCUGGCAAUGCACUGGGCGGAGAUGACAGUGAUGAGGACGUUGAUGACGAGACCAUGAUGUCCCUCGACAAGAACCUCUCGGCCCUCUUUGCCGAGCAGCAGAAGCGCACCCAGGCCAAAAAGGACGAGAAGGAGAAAAUCCGGAAGGAGAAGAUCUUACGGCGGGAAUUCAAAAUUAAGGUCCUGGAUUUGGUGGAGGUGUUUUUGACCAAGCAGCCAGAGAAUCCCCUCGUCUUCCGAGUCAUCGAACCACUCCUCUCUGUGAUUGAGCAGAGCAUGAGUUCAGAGUCCAACAAGCAAGAGCAGGACUACCUCCGGAAGACGGCAGAUAUCUUCACGAAUAGUUUAUGUAGAUCGAAGCAGUAUUGCAAAAAUGUGGCUCCCAUCCGGGAGGAGCUGCAUAACCAGCUGGAAAGCCUGGUGAAGAGAGCCUGCAGGCAAAGUGACUCCACAGUAGCCCUUUACUGUUUCAGUGCCUCUCUGUACCUCUGCCGAGUGUUGAAAGGAAAUGUGGGAAGUAAUGAAGGGGCGCCGGUGACUGCCCAGCCAAAAAAGAAGCAGAAGAGCAGCGAAGGCAGUGAUGCGCCAGCUGCUCAGCACCUGCCUGUUGGCUGUCUGGAUCUGGAGCGAGUGACCGCCGUGUAUAAGGAGGCUUUGAACCUGUUUCUGACGAAACGCAAAAGCCCACUGACUGGAUCCAUGUUUCUUGAUCUUUUUGAGCGGCAUCCGAUCAUGUGCAAACCACUGAUCGCCACUGUUGUCAAGUCGAUCACAGAGGGAGCCAGGCAACCCCAGCAGGCCCAGGCAUGUCUGCUUCUUCAGAAAGCUCUCCAAACCCGGGAUUUCAAGCUCUCAUUCUCUGAACAACAGUGGGAAGAGUUGAUCCGAGAAAGCGUCCAACAAGUCACCAAGACUUUAAAGAUGGUGGGUCAGUUCAAGAUCAAGGUGGACCAAGAGAAGGCCAUCAAGUGUCUGGAGCUGUUGAACUGCCUCAUCAAAAUGGUGACCAAACAGGAGCUCCCUGUGCAGCUGACAGAGGUGCCCAUCGCGAUGCAGGUCCUGGGCCAGCAGGAAGGCUUUGGGAAAUCCACCCGGCUCACCGAUCUCUAUUGGAACGUCAUGAAGCUCCUGGGAUUCACGCGCCCGGCGAAGGAGAAAGCGUCAGCCCAGGCAAAGCCCCCGACGGAAACGGAACCACCCCUGAAGCGGAAGAAAAAGGGUUUUCUGCCAGCCACAAAGAUACGCAAGAACCGCAAGAAGGCCUUGCCUGGCCAUUCCCAGGAGACUGGAGCCAAGAGCAGCGACGUCAAAGAGACAGUCGUGGGUGCAGAAAACGCCACCCCUGCAGGGAAGAAGAAAAAGAGGAAGAACAAGAAGAAUCGGGGAGAAGGAGGCGAAGAGGGCCAAGCGUCGGAGUCAGGUCCUCCGGCAAAGAAGCCGUCUCGCCCAGCAGUUGGGGCUAAAGAAAAGGAGACCCAAAAUCCGAAAGAGAAGAGGAGGAGGAGGAGAAAUAGGAAGAAAGGGAAGAAAGCAGGGACUCAGCUUGCAAAGGAUGGGCCCGAUUGAGCUUUUGGAGGAGGAAAGGGCUGGCGGUGUAUCUGUAUAAAGAAACUAUUUUGCAGGAGAUGGCUCCUCUUUGUGGGAUGCUUUAUUACCUGGGCCUAUGGCUUCUAUGAACUCGUGGCACACUACUACUCAGAAUCCCAUUGACUCCAAUGAGGUUUGAAACGGCGGCCUAAUUAUGCCAUUUGAGAGUCGGCAGCAAGGCGCAAGAGAGGCUCCCAUCCUACGUUCCUCCUUUGUGGCAACAAGGCUCUUCAGAUGUUCUCUCGGCAGGGGCUGCUGUCGACGCCGCAGGAAAGGAAACCUACACAAGUCGCGCAUCAAAGCCUCCGCCACCUUCGCACAACGCAACUUCAAGCAGCGCGGCAGGCAGGUUCGAGGGUCUCUUUACCGGAAGCACGGAGCCCGGGACCGACCGACGCCGAAAAGGUGGCACCAAAGUAGCAUCGAUACUACCUCCCCAACCCCGGGUUCAACCGUUUAACCUUACGUCAAGAUGCAGGGAAGCGCACCUUCUGCGGCGUACUUUUUACCUCUUAAAUCGAGAGGGACGGCAGAUAUCUACAGCCCCUUCCAAUCCCUGCGUCUUGCAUUUCCUCUCCAUCUUUGAUUCUAUACAUGUCUCGAGAUUUAUAUUUCUCUCUUUUGAUUUUGUCUCGGGAUCACGGAUCCAAGUUUGGGGACAGUUUGCGAAACAGGAACGUUUGCUGCACGGCUUUGCGUUACGGAUGGCAUCUUCCUGAGGAAGAUGAAGGAGAACGCGAAGGAGGUGGAAAGGAAACAGUGGGCACCACUUUUGGACUCCAGAUCUGAGGAGGCCUUGCCAUAGCUAUUUGCCCACCAGCCAGAACUGAAGAGGUCACUGGCAUCCAUCUUCUCAAAACAGCUGUCUCGAAACCCACAAUAGCAGCAAAGCACAUCAGUGCGCCAAGAAAAAAAGUGUUCAGGCCAUUCCUCGUGGAAGCAGCUGCAACCUCAUAAUUCUUUGCGUGGUGCAUAGAACUGGGAGGGCAUUGCUGCUGAAAGUGGGCACUCUCGCCAACCACCUUCCUACCUUGGAGGACCACAACUGGCCUACACCAAAGCCAUCCCUGUCAUCCCUGUCACCGCUACUUCUUUCUAUCCCUUGGGAUGCUCAAAAUGACACCCUAGUAUCAAGUCCAAACGCCUACUUCAUGCUGGUUCAAGAACAAACCCAGCGGUGAGUCUGAGGUAGUUCCGGGAGCGAACUGCUAGUGCAAAAAUCACAAUCAUAAAAAAUAAAUUCCUUACAUUAAACAUAUGGGGCCAGCAUCCCUGUCGGUGAAUUAAGAGGAUAUAACUCCGAUGUGCGCCACUGUGACUCUAUUUUGGCAAUUGUGGCGGUCAAAUUUUUUUUCCAUUAUCGAGCAACAAAAAGUGCCCCCCAAACCCACCUUGUAAGCAGUGUGACCACUCCGAACACGUCUCUUCCCAUGAUGUCAGAGAGCAUGGAGAUCAGUAGGGCUGCAACCAGCUGUUUCCUGGAGUUGGAUGCGCUGCAAGGGACCUUCUGAGGAUCUCUGGAAGUCUCUGGUGAUGCUUGCCAUAUUGCCUCCAACUGGAUGCCUCCUCACUGAUCCACCCGCUCUCAGACUACACAAAAAUGGUAUUUUGGGUAGGGUGGGUGGCCUCCCAUACUUAAAAGGUGAGAUUUUGGG